rnacentral:rRNA from 1 species
GAUGAACGCUGGCGGCGUGCCUAAUACAUGCAAGUCGAGCGAACGGACGAGAAGCUUGCUUUUCUGAUGUUAGCGGCGGACGGGUGAGUAACACGUGGAUAACCUACCUAUAAGACUGGGAUAACUUCGGGAAACCGGAGCUAAUACCGGAUAAUAUUUUGAACCGCAUGGUUCAAAAGUGAAAGACGGUUUUGCUGUCACUUAUAGAUGGAUCCGCGCUGCAUUAGCUAGUUGGUAAGGUAACGGCUUACCAAGGCAACGAUGCAUAGCCGACCUGAGAGGGUGAUCGGCAACCCGGGAACUGAAACCCGGUCCAGACUCCUACGGGAGGCAGCAGAAGGAAAUCUCCGGAAAUGGGCGAAGGCCUGACGGAGCAACGCGGGGUAGGUGUGGAAGGUUUGCGAUUCGUAAACCCUUUUUAUAGGGGAAAAACAUAUGUGUAAGUACCAGUGAAGAUUUGGAGGUAACUAAACAAAAAGGCAACGGCAAAUUAGGG